CAAGAACGCCCAAAAUACCCGGCUGGGUAAUUGAUCCGCCUCUUUUAUCGAAGAUGCAUAGGUGGUACUGAAAGAUUCCAGUCCUGUGGAGCUGUUUCAUCACAGCUGCACAUGUGUUGCUGAAGGAGCAUUAUGCAACCACUGUGUUGCUUUGCUGUUCCAGUCAGCACAUUACUCUCAGCUGAAGGUGCCAGUGGUCCCUCCUGUGCUAGGCUGUACUGAAGGAGAACAGCAGUGGCACAAGCCCAGAACUUUGGAGCACGCUCUACAAAGGCCUCAGUGGGGAUUUGGGUGACAGAGGUGUAUAAAAAUGUCUCAACAGCUGAGUCGCCGAUGAUCUGCAGCAUGGGCAUCAGCUGUGAAACUCCCCUGGUUGACUCUGACCUUGGCAAAGUUCAAGCCAUUGUCCUACCAACAACCAGCAACAGCAAAGGGACCUGUCCUUCCAUGCUGCCCCACCAAGUCCAUCUGUGCCUCUUCAGAAUUACCGCCUACAGCCAUCAAGUUGCAUGUUUGUCUGUGCUGAACCACAACAGCUACACCAUAGAAGUCUCACGUUUCAGGGAGAUCUGCCAGGUUCGAGAAAACUCUGAAGAAGGUCUGGCUAACCAGAUACUGCAAGGGACCCAUCAGACGGUAGCUAUGAAGAAGGGGCUCGAAUUAGAGGCAGAUGCUAUCUGGGACUAUUGCCAAAUGAAAAGGGUCAAGCACUACCUCUGUGGAUUCGUAAUUCACCUGAAGCUCCUUGGCUGGGGGCAUUUUCAGAUGGGUUAAUCAUUGACCCUUCAGAGGCAUGUCAGUUUGGGCUGAUUGAGAUGAAGUCACUGAAUGUUAAAAGCUAUGUGGAGUGCACAUAUCUCCAAACGAAUUCAGGCAAAUUGGAGCUAAAACAAACCCAUGCUUACUACUGGCAAGUACAGGGGCAGAUGCUAAUAACGGGAAUGAGUUGGUGUGAUUUUGUAGUCUCAGGUGAGGAAGAUGUACUCAUUCAAAUAAUUUACAGAAACAUUGAUGUUUUGGAUGUAAUCAGAGAGAAGGUAGUCAGGUUUUAUUUGUCUACUUGCAGAAAUGUCUAAUGCUUCCGCAUUUAUUACCAUUGUACUGAAGAGGAGGCAGACCUCUCUAGCACUACAGAUAAGAGAGAAUUUUUUGGGGGGGGGGGUGAACUGCCCCUUUAACAACUGUAAAGAACUGUA
ensembl:lncRNA